rnacentral:rRNA from 1 species
UGGGGAAUAUUGCACAAUGGGCGCAAGCCUGAUGCAGCCAUGCCGCGUGUGUGAAGAAGGCCUUCGGGUUGUAAAGCACUUUCAGCGAGGAGGAAGGUGGUGGACUUAAUACGUUCAUCAAUUGACGUUACUCGCAGAAGAAGCACCGGCUAACUCCGUGCCAGCAGCCGCGGUAAGUACGGAGGGUGCAAGCGUUAAUCGGAAUUACUGGGCGUAAAGCGCACGCAGGCGGUUUGUUAAGUCAGAUGUGAAAUCCCCGGGCUCAACCUGGGAACUGCAUUUGAAACUGGCAAGCUAGAGUCUCGUAGAGGGGGGUAGAAUUCCAGGUGUAGCGGUGAAAUGCGUAGAGAUCUGGAGGAAUACCGGUGGCGAAGGCGGCCCCCUGGACGAAGACUGACGCUCAGGUGCGAAAGCGUGGGGAGCAAACAGGAUUAGAUACCCUGGUAGUCCACGCUGUAAACGAUGUCGAUUUUGGAGGUUGUGCCCUUGAGGCGUGGCUUCCGGAGCUAACGCGUUAAAUCGACCGCCUGGGGAGUACGGCC